CACGUAGGGCGCGAGCGUUGUCCGGAAUUAUUGGGCGUAAAGAGCUCGUAGGCGGCCUGUUGCGUCCGCUGUGAAAGCCCGGGGCUUAACCCCGGGUCGGCAGUGGAUACGGGCAGGCUAGAGGUAGGUAGGGGAGAAUGGAAUUCCCGGUGUAGCGGUGAAAUGCGCAGAUAUCAGGAGGAACACCGAUGGCGAAGGCAGCUCGCUGGGACGGUACUGACGCUGAGGCGCGAAAGCGUGGGGAGCAAACAGG
rnacentral:rRNA from 1 species